AAAUGAAUAGACGGGGACCCGCACAAGUAGCGGAGCAUGUGGUUUAAUUCGAAGCAACGCGAAGAACCUUACCUAAGCUUGACAUCCCAUUGACCUCUCCCUAAUCGGAGAUUUCCCUUCGGGGACAGUGGUGACAGGUGGUGCAUGGUUGUCGUCAGCUCGUGUCGUGAGAUGUUGGGUUAAGUCCCGCAACGAGCGCAACCCUUGCCUUUAGUUGCCAGCAUUAAGUUGGGCACUCUAGAGGGACUGCCGAGGAUAACUCGGAGGAAGGUGGGGAUGACGUCAAAUCAUCAUGCCCCUUAUGCUUAGGGCUACACACGUGCUACAAUGGGUGGUACAGAGGGUUGCCAAACCGUGAGGUGGAGCUAAUCCCUUAAAGCCAUUCUCAGUUCGGAUUGUAGGCUGAAACUCGCCUACAUGAAGCUGGAGUUACUAGUAAUCGCAGAUCAGAAUGCUGCGGUGAAUGCGUUCCCGGGUCUUGUACACACCGCCCGU
rnacentral:rRNA from 1 species